UACAGAGGGGGCCAGCGUUAUUCGGAAUUAUUGGGCGUAAAGAGCUCGUAGGCGGUCUGUCGCGUCUGCUGUGAAAACUCAGGGCUUAACCCUGAGCUUGCAGUGGGUACGGGCAGACUAGAGUGCGGUAGGGGAGACUGGAAUUCCUGGUGUAGCGGUGAAAUGCGCAGAUAUCAGGAGGAACACCGGUGGCGAAGGCGGGUCUCUGGGCCGUAACUGACGCUGAGGAGCGAAAGCAUGGGGAGCGAACAGG
rnacentral:rRNA from 1 species